GAAGUUCGACCCAGAUUUCAUCGACAUCAUGACAAAGGCCAAAGAGGUGUUGCAGAGGAGUGACGAUCUUAAUGAAAUUGUCAAAACUCCUCCUCCUCCUCCUACGGUUUUGGAUUAUGCGUUUAUCAAUCAAUCUUUGAUGGCUUUGAUGGACACGCAUGAACUAGUAUCUGGUUUUAGAUGAUGGCUUUGAUGGACACGCUUCUUCUCUGUGCUACGUCUUCAGUGGUGUUGCUCUUCCUCUUAAUAGGUGGUUGAGGCUGAAUAGCUAGUUUCUCUGGCGAUUGUUAUUGGGCUUGUCUCGUGUUUGAUGCUAACCAGGGGGCAACAAUCCGGUUAGAUGGCUUCAGAUGCAGAACUACUCUACCCACCUGUUUGAUUUUUUUUUUUUGGAGUCCAAUAAUGAUGGAGGGCCUUGUUGUGUCCAUGGCGUUUCUCUUCAACUACUCCCAUCUUAAUUUGACUUCCAAGUAAAGGUGUUGUUUGUCUCACUGACUGCAGGGAGAUCAUCAUAAAGACUAGAGACCAUGUUCAACUUCAAUGAAACGUAACCCGUUCUGUGAUUUAGUACAGAUCUCGACAGAUCCCGCUUUGCCUGCACCACAAAGAAGUACACCACAUGCAUCUGCUAGACUUUUCAGGAAUUUAAUCUUCAAGCAGUGAAAAGGGAUAACCAACAUGCAUAAACCAUCUUCAAUAGCUUCACCGUCUGUUUCUAAUCAAAAUAAUAAUUGGAGGUCUCACUUUACUGAACCAAGAAGCCUUGUAGCCCUGUGAACAAAAAGGUCUGAAUAAUGAGUUAAGAUAUGAGUACUUGAAGACAAGUUGUCUGAUGAUGAUUCCAUUGCACUUUGCCACAAAAUCAGUCUCAAGCCAAAGGCAAUCAUUUGAAAAAUGUGAAAAGGGAAGCUCAAUCGUGGUCUCUCCAUGGUUGUUAGCUACAAGCUGUUGAAGCCAUGCCAAGACUUGACCGAUAAUUUGACUUUCAUUUUGUGUGCUCUCUCAGAUGGUGCAUUGACUGUGCUUCAAGCUUAUUUACUUGUGCUUGAUGAAAACAAUUUUCAGAGGAAUGCUAAAAAGAGUUCCAAAAGGCAUAUGAGAAUGGAAUUCACAAGUCAAACUGUUCUAGGAGGCAACAUAUGAGGAUUCGCUCAACCUGAUUGCUUGUGUUCCUGUUGUAGCUGUGUAUGUGUAUAUGGGAGUCAUUGCAGGAUGUACAAGAAUGGUGACUCCAUCCCCUCAGAUACAUCUUUGGAUUAUGGUGCAAAUUUUUAACACAUGUUGGGAUUUGAUACAGCUUGUUAUAGGUGAAGUAUCCGUGGCCAAAUGUUGAUGCUCACAGUGGGGUCUUGCUGAAUCAUUAUGGUCUAACCGAAGCAAGGUAAGCAAGGCAUCUACUCUCAGUCUCAGGAACCGAGCUCUUGGGACUUGCACCAGAGAGGCCAAAGAGUGCUAAUAUGGACGGGCUUGAGUCUGACUGUAAGAAAGCUUCAUCUGCUUAAGAAACAAUUGCUUGGUGAAAAUUUGCAUUUCGGAAAAACUCAGUGAUGGUAAUAAAGUAAAACAGUUGUAUUGAAUUUGCAUAAACAUCCAACAACAUCAACAAUGUCACUCAUGAAUAGAAAACUUGGUCUUGGUU